AAACAUAGCCACUAGUAGAUAUUUGUGGUCAAACCUGCCCAAUGUAUAAUUCUAAUUAAUGGCCGCGGUACCCUGACCGUGCUAAGGUAGCGUAAUAAGUUGGCUUUUAAAUGGAGUCAGGUAUGAAUGGAUUAACUGGGUUUAGCUGUCUCUUAAACAAUAUUUUGAAUUUACUGUUCAAGUGAAAAAGCUUGAUUUUUAUAAGGGGACGAGAAGACCCUUAAAAUUUUAUUUAAGGUAAUUUAUUAAUUAUUACAAUUUUGUUGGGGCGACAUAGAAAUAUUUAUAACUUUCUGUAAAUAAUAAGUCGGAAUUUUCAGGACAGAAUAAAUUACUUAAGGGAUAACAGCAUAAUUCUAUAAUUGAGUUUGUGACCUCGAUGUUGGACUAGGAAGCUGGCAGGUUAGAUGCUUGUUGUGCGGAUUCUGUUCGAAUUUUAACUCCU
rnacentral:rRNA from 1 species